CGGACGGGUGAGUAACGCGUGGAUAACCUGCCUCACACAGGGGGAUAACAGUUAGAAAUGACUGCUAAUACCGCAUAAGCGCACGGUACCGCAUGGUACAGUGUGAAAAACUCCGGCGGUGUGAGAUGGAUCCGCGUCUGAUUAGGUAGUUGGUGAGGUAACGGCCCACCAAGCCGACGAUCAGUAGCCGACCUGAGAGGGUGACCGGCCACAUUGGGACUGAGACACGGCCCAA
rnacentral:rRNA from 1 species